CAGGUCGCUCAAGAUACGGCGUUGUUGCUUAGGUCUGGACAGUUGCAAUCUUCGUUCUGUUUCAGCCGAACAUUGCACUCGUCCCGGCCUGAGAAACCGCGCCAAUUUUCAACUCAACUGUG
rnacentral:pre_miRNA from 16 species